AGAGUGUGAUGAUAAGCGAAAGCACCAUUCUUUGUCUUGUCUAGCUCUGUGUGUUCCCUGCGAGUAUCUCGCGGGGAG
rfam:Listeria aquatica FSL S10-1188 c9, whole genome shotgun sequence.